rnacentral:rRNA from 1 species
UACGUAGGGUGCAAGCGUUGUCCGGAAUUAUUGGGCGUAAAGAGCUCGUAGGCGGUUUGUCGCGUCUGCUGUGAAAACUGGAGGCUCAACCUCCAGCCUGCAGUGGGUACGGGCAGACUAGAGUGCGGUAGGGGAGAUUGAAUCCUGGUGUAGCGGUGGAAUGCGUAGGAUAUCAGGAGGAACACCUGUGGCGAAAGCGGCUC